GCUGCCAUUGAGGGGCAUUUACUCAGUGAGUGGAAGAGGUUUGUUUGAAACAGACCGCAACGGAGAGACCAGCGCCCAGGGAAGCGAGGGAGCAGCAGGCUCCUUUCCGCAGCGUAUCGAGAUGUGAGUCUGGGACACAGAGUGGGGCUCCGAGACCGGCAUUGAUUCGGGCUCAGUUCAGGGAGAACCGGGGGCUGUUGGCUUAUUUAAAAAUCAUAAGCUUUUGGAGUUCUGCUGGUUUGGGAGGUGAAGUUCAAGAAAAGAAACAUCCUAAUAACAGGCAAAAUACUUGAAGAAACCAGUUGAUGCAAUAUUUCCUUGGUACAAAGCCGAGUGUGCGCAGUUGCUUCCAACUAACAGCAGGCACGUUCCUGUGAUCAGAAUGGAGAAUAUCUUUCCCAUAGUCAGAGCGGAUUGAAUCAGACUUACAUUGAGCUCAAUUUCCGGAGACUUGACCAAGGAAACAACCACCCAAUCCCAACUGAGAAA